rnacentral:snRNA from 1 species
GUACUUAGUACCCAUACUAAAAUUGGAAAGAUGCAGAGAAGACUGGCAUGGUCCCUGUGCAAGGAUGAUGCCAACUGGAAUCACAAAAGAUGUCC